UGAGGAAUAUUGGUCAAUGGGCGCAAGCCUGAACCAGCCAUCCCGCGUGAAGGAAGAAGGCGCUAUGCGUUGUAAACUUCUUUUCCAGGGAAAUAAAAUUUCGUACGUGUACGGAACUGAAGGUACCCUGGGAAUAAGCAUCGGCUAACUCCGUGCCAGCAGCCGCGGUAAUACGGAGGAUGCAAGCGUUAUCCGGAUUUAUUGGGUUUAAAGGGUGCGCAGGCGGAAAAAUAAGUCAGUGGUGAAAUCCUGCAGCUUAACUGUAGAAUUGCCGUUGAUACUGUUAUUCUUGAGUGUGGUCAAGGUAGGCGGAAUGUGUAAUGUAGCGGUGAAAUGCUUAGAUAUUACACAGAACACCGAUUGCGAAGGCAGCUUACUGGGCCAUUACUGACGCUCAUGCACGAAAGCGUGGGGAUCGAACA
rnacentral:rRNA from 1 species